rnacentral:ncRNA from 7 species
UAAGGUAGCCAAAUGCCUCGUCAU